UAGCUGUAUUUAAGUUUUUGGGGCUAC
rnacentral:piRNA from 1 species